GCGCGGUCCAACCGCGUCAGUCUUUCGCCGUUAGCGGCCGACUCGAGGCUGCCGUUCUGCUCCGAGGUCACCCUCUACCUGGGCAGCCUCUGGCCUCCGCAUCCAGGCGCAGACCCCUCCACGGAGAGGUCUGAACAGAGCCGGGCUGGGAGAGGUGAGUGAGAUGGCCAAGACUUGGGAACACAAACCUUUUUCCAAGACCAAACAAAUCUCCAAAGCCGCCCGCCAGCAGGCCUCUGGUGGCGGUUUUGUCUGUUAGCAGGGUUGACUGAGAGCCCUCUUUCUCCUCAGAAGCUCCCUUUCCUUUUCUAGGACUUUACUUAACAUCCAGCACCCCUCAUAGGGUAUUAAUUAAUUAAUCAAUCAAUUCUGCAUCGAGCAUAGCUAUUUGAGCUGGGAUCUUGGAUGCCCUCACCCUUGCUGUUUGUUUUGGGAUAACUGAUGCAACCUCUUUGGACCUUAGUUUCUGUCCUCUCUCCCUCCUUCCCUCUUCCCUUCCCUCAAUUUCAUUCCCUCCCCCUUCCCAUUCUUCUUCCCCUUUUCUGUUCUCACUAUGUUGCCCAGACUGGUUUGGAAUUUCUGGACUAAGCAAUUCUGCAGCCUCUCAUAGCUGACACUAAGGCAGGCGCCACCUGUGCCCAGCUGAACUUAGUUUCUAUGUCUGCAAGGUGUAUGCAGUAAUAUUAACACCUUACAGGAUUUUGUGUGGGUCAAGAGAGUCCAGAUUACUAUAUAGUACUAUAUUACUAUUAUUGGGCCAAUAAUACAGGAACGAUGAUGAAAGAAAAGUGUUUAAUUGGGGGGCAAAAUAAAGAGUAAUAGCUUGAGUAGCCUGGGUAAAGUAUACAGUAUGUACAAAACAGAAAAAAUGGGUACUUAAUUGUUGAAGGAACAUGGCAAAGUAUGGUUAAAUUGAUAUGAAGAAUCUAGCUACACAGUAUAUAGUGAGUGAAUGAAUGGAAGACUUCUUAGAGAUAUUUGUAAGCAAGGUCUUAGAAUAGAUUUGGGUAUGAUCCAGCAGAAUAAAAAGGGUACAUAUUUGUAAUCCCAACAACUCUCAGUAGGCUGAGGUGGGAAGAUUGCGAGUUGUCCAGCCUGAACAACUUUUGACACCCUAUCUCAAAAUAAGAAAUAAAAAGGAUGGGGGAUGUAGCUCAGUUGUUGAGCAUCCAGGGUUCACAAAUAAAUAAAUAAAACUUAAAUUUUAAAAAUUCAACAAUUUUAAAAAUUAAAAGGGGAGAGGGAAUUUGAAAGACCAAAAAAUAAUGUGUUGAGGAAUAGAAACUGGAAUUUGCUCAAAUCAUGGAGAACAGGGCAAGAGAUAAGCUAGGUUAAGCAGUAGUACAAUAAUGAAAGAUGAGCAGAAAGAGAUCAGGAGUGCCAAAGAUAGUUUAAAUUUGUUACCACUGGUUUGAGGUGGGGAUCACCAGUCCACCUGUCAGGGCCAGCAGCUCUUGGGCAGCUUCCAACCAGCUGUCAUGCAAGAGGUGAUGACCCUGCAUUAGCUUAGAGUUUAAAUGUCGCACAUUCCCUCAAGGGGAUAGGGUUCCAAAGGGCCUCAAGACUAGGCUUUUGAAACAUUGUAGAAGUAGAUGUGGCAGCCCUCUAAGUAGAAAGUUUUUUAACUUUUCCAGUGACAAAAAAACAAGAUUCUGGGAAUAGCUUUGUUCAAACUUAAGAAGAAACUACUUAAAAAGAAACUUUUUCAUACCUACAGUCAGUUGCAAGUCUUUUCUUAAUCAAGUGAGACCACUCCACUUUCUUACAUACACAACCGUAUUUAAAGGAGGGAAUAGUUCAGUUUUCUGUUUACAGCUGGGCUCAUAUGUGUAAAUUUCUUUGUGUCUAUUUAUUAAUUCGUCUUUAUGCCUUUUAAAAAAACUUAUAGUGUUAUACACGGAUACAAUACAUUUGUUUAUUUUGAUGUGGUGCUGAGGAUUGAACCCAGUGCCUCACACGUGUGAGGCAAGCGCUCUGCCACUGAGCCACAGCCCCAGCCUUUCAAUAGUUAUUUUUUGGGUCACUCUCUGCUUCUAUAAUUUUCUUUUUUUUUUUUGGUGCUGGGGAUUGAACCCAGGGCCUUAUCUGCAAGCUAACCACCUAUUUCACCGCUGAGCUCUCUAUACACCCCAG
rnacentral:lncRNA from 1 species